rnacentral:rRNA from 1 species
UAGUUGGUGGGGUAAAGGCCUACCAAGGCGACGAUCAGUAGCGGGUCUGAGAGGAUGAUCCGCCACACUGGAACUGAGACACGGUCCAGACUCCUACGGGAGGCAGCAGUGGGGAAUUUUGGACAAUGGGGGCAACCCUGAUCCAGCCAUUCCGCGUGAGUGAAGAAGGCCUUCGGGUUGUAAAGCUCUUUCAGCUGGAACGAAACGGUACAUCCUAAUACGGUGUGCUAAUGACGGUACCAGCAGAAGAAGCACCGGCUAACUACGUGCCAGCAGCCGCGGUAAUACGUAGGGUGCGAGCGUUAAUCGGAAUUACUGGGCGUAAAGCGUGCGCAGGCGGAUUGUUAAGCAAGAUGUGAAAUCCCCGGGCUUAACCUGGGAAUGGCAUUUUGAACUGGCAGUCUAGAGUGUGUCAGAGGGGGGUGGAAUUCCACGUGUAGCAGUGAAAUGCGUAGAGAUGUGGAGGAACACCAAUGGCGAAGGCAGCCCCCUGGGAUAACACUGACGCUCAUGUACGAAAGCGUGGGUAGCAAACAGGAUUAGAUACCCUGGUAGUCCACGCCCUAAACGAUGUCAACUGGUUGUUGGGGGAGUGAAAUCCCUUAGUAACGAAGCUAACGCGUGAAGUUGACCGCCUGGGGAGUACGGUCGCAAGAUUAAAACUCAAAGGAAUUGACGGGGACCCGCACAAGCGGUGGAUGAUGUGGAUUAAUUCGAUGCAACGCGAAAAACCUUACCUACCCUUGACAUGUCCAGAACCCUGCAGAGAUGCGGGGGUGCCCGAAAGGGAAUCGGAACACAGGUGCUGCAUGGCUGUCGUCAGCUCGUGUCGUGAGAUGUUGGGUUAAGUCCCGCAACGAGCGCAACCCUUAUCAUUAGUUGCUACGCAAGGGCACUCUAAUGAGACUGCCGG